rnacentral:rRNA from 1 species
UAGGGAAUCUUCCGCAAUGGGCGAAAGCCUGACGGAGCAACGCCGCGUGAGUGAUGAAGGUCUUCGGAUCGUAAAACUCUGUUAUUAGGGAAGAACAAAUGUGUAAGUAACUAUGCACGUCUUGACGGUACCUAAUCAGAAAGCCACGGCUAACUACGUGCCAGCAGCCGCGGUAAUACGUAGGUGGCAAGCGUUAUCCGGAAUUAUUGGGCGUAAAGCGCGCGUAGGCGGUUUUUUAAGUCUGAUGUGAAAGCCCACGGCUCAACCGUGGAGGGUCAUUGGAAACUGGAAGACUUGAGUGCAGAAGAGGAAAGUGGAAUUCCAUGUGUAGCGGUGAAAUGCGCAGAGAUAUGGAGGAACGCCAGUGGCGAAGGCGACUUUCUGGUCUGUAACUGACGCUAAUGUGCGAAAACGUGGGGAUCAAACAGG